GACCCCAUCGAUUAACGGAUAAAUCGGUUCUUUCCUAAAGAACAGCUACAGGUUCGAUUCCUGUUGGGGUCGCCA
rnacentral:tRNA from 1 species